CUCUAUCAGUUAGAUUGCAAUAUUCCAUGACUUUAAGUUUGAUUUCUGAUGAAUUGUCAUUUUGUUUUUGUGAUACAGUGUUGCUGUGGUUCUUCAUAGUGCUGGAUAAGUUGUUCCUCAGCUGACACAUCUGAAGUAUCGAACACCUUUCUUCUUUAGGGUCAUGGUUAGAAAGGCCACCUCCAUUCCAAAGAUUCAGGGAAAACCAUGAGGUACAGGUUAGCAGCCGUCUUCCAACCAUGAGAGAAGUCAGCUUGAAGACAAAAGUGACACACAGAGAAGGAGAGAGCCAAGACUAUCUCAGAAAAAUGGAGCAAGAGCCCUGAUUGAGCCUUGCGGGACUCCUGCGUCCUUUAAAUAAUCUUUAAGUAGUGUGUGACCAUAUGGCUAAUUUGCCUAUGACAGUCUCAGUUUAUACCAGUUUUCCUAGCUUUCUCUUUCUGAAAAGUGUUCCAGUUUCAUUUAUAUGGUCACACUCAAGAUAAUUGGAUUUUCAAUCAUAUAUCAAUCAAUUUAGCAGUUAACUAAGGUCAACUGUUUUUCAAGUUGUGUCCAUUUGGACUGUUUUCUGGCUACCUCCCAUCAUCCUCCCUCAGAUUGUUCAGUUGUUUAGAUUCAAAAAGUAAGCAAAGGAAACAUUCUGGUUUCUUCUCACUCUUACUCUUUCUUCAGGACCUAGGACUUCUCCAUGAAGUCUUUCUAGACUUUUCUAAAUAAAAGUGGUUAAAAUGGUUAUUCCCAACUCCCACACAAUUCUCCUCAUCCCUCUUUAUCAGUACUCAAUAACAUUGCAUUACAAUGAUCUGUUCUUGUGUUUAUCUUCCAUAGCCAACUGGGAACAUCUCCUGAAAAAGGAUUAUAUCACUUUUAACUUUGUAUCCAAAGCAUGAGAACAAUGUGCUCCCGGAACAGUUUCUUUUGAUAUUUGCUGAGGAAUAAAGGAAAAGAAAUAACUGGAUAGGAAAGCCAUUCAUUUGUUUGCUUUGUCAUUUUAACAGUCUGUUCAACUAAUUUUGCUCAAUAUUUUCCAUUGUAGCAACUAACCAUUAAUGAUGACUCCCAAGCCCAAAUUAUCUCAAAAUAAUUAAAAUGGGCAAUUGAAUUUAAGGAUGAGCUUAAUAUAGAAAACCCCCAAGAGUUGUUUCUGUUACCCUGAAUUGUCCAGUGAACUGUUUCAUGCUUCUUCAUAUUUAAGAUAAUGCUUCAAAUUUAUACCCACAAUGAAAUAAAGCCUUAAAAAUAAUCUGAUAUGUUUUCUGAACAAUUAAAUUAUUAGACUAGGUGGAGGGCUCAUCUUCUUCACAAAUUCAUUGUUAGUUUGGUCUCAUUCAUGCAGAUGUUCCUUUUUUUUUUUUUUAACCAAU